AAACCGUCCCCACCCCCUUCUUUCUCUCUCUUAAUCGUCUUCUGCUCUCAACCUCAACCUCAACCUCAACCCUUGCCUCUUCUACUCUCUCACUUCUCAUCCUUGAAAUUUCUAGAUCUACUCCAGGCUUGAAGAUUCUGCCCCAAUUUCAAGAAAUACGACAAAAUAUGAACGAAAUUUAAAGACUUUGAGGUUGUUUAGCGACUGCAAUGGAGGAUAUGCAGCAGCUAUAAAUUUGCAAAUAGAGAGAAGGCUAAAGCUGCAAACUUAAUCCCUCCGUCUGCGGAUCUACUCAUGGAUUUACAUGUUUGGACACCAAAUAUAUAGGUUGUAUCAAUUACAGAGGGCGGUGAACUUACUUAUUGAACUGACUUUGAAUGCAUAUAUGGCUGAUAUAAUUUCAUUGACUUUUCAAUCUUUGUGGAAAUGAUCUUUAAGUUAAGUGACCGUGGUUCUUUAUGCUAAUAUAGGACAGGGAUCUCGAUCAUUACACUAUAACAAUCUGGUUCUUUUUGCUAAUGUAAGAUGUUGCUUGUUGUAGCCAUUAAAUUGUUCCCAAGUUUGGCCCAGAAGAACUUCUCUUGCUUUUCCCACAAGGAUGUGAAUUAAUACAAGGAGACAAAGGUGACCAUCCUCCCAUGGACACACAACUGAGAUUGAUUUGUCUCUUAAUCAAGCCAGACCCAUCUGCUUUUCAUAAUUUGUGGAUGUUGCAGCACUCUGUCAUUGCCAAUUACCGUAAGGUUAAAGUGUCUCAGUCCCAACUGGUAAACAUAUCCUGCGUUGGAGGAUCAAAUUAGCCAGUUUGUUCUGCUCCAGGUGCAGUAAUAUUGAAUUUGGGAUUAAAAAAACAUUGAUACCUGAAGCCAGCCUAUAUAGUCUUGGGAGUGUGUAUACUGCAUGACUUUCAUACUGGCCAGGUCUUCUUUGCUGCAAUACACCAAUUCCACAUUAGUAUGACUUCACCAGGCAUUUUCUUGAACUAUCUAUUUGACUGACACGGGAUAUUUUGAUUGAUUAUAUGGGUAGGUUCAGUUGUGUUGCUUGUGAGACACUACAGUACGUCAAUCUAACUAGUUUUGUAGUUGGCUACACAACUACUGCACCAAAGAGUAUGGUGUAAGACCUUCUGUAUAAUGAGCUCAACCUUUUACAUUAAUAGUUGGUUAAUGAAAUUAAGUGAAACUAAGUAAAGUUUAUGACUCAAAAUAUUUGUCUCCAAUACCAAACUUCCAUGAGCUAACAUGGUUGUCAACUAUUGCCGCAAUCAUGUCUUUCGCGUAUUCUACAAUCGGUAUAGGACUAGCACUCGAUAGCAUUCUCUCUGGGAAUGGAGGGAGGACAGCCUUAACAGGAAUAGAGAUAAGUUUGGGUACAUCAGCUGCUGAGAAAACACGGAGGAUGUUAAGAUCGAUUUGAGACAUUGCAUUUGCUUACAGGUUUUCUCAAAUCCUUGUUGACAUACAAGUAAUUAUAUUUCCUUGAUGAACUUCAAUUGUGUUUCGAGAUUACAUUUCAAAUGGAAACUACUGUCUGGAUCACAUUUUAAAAGGAAGCUACUCAUUUUUUUGUGAAGACAGAGUGUCCCAUAAGAUUAGGCAGCAAAUUAGUGUUUAGCUUAAAUUCACUGAGGCUAACUGGGACAUGUAUAUUUGUGAUGUUAGUAAGGAAGGAGAAGGAAGGAGAAUGCAGAAAAGUAGAGGAGGAAUAAGGAAGGAAAAAAUUGUGUGAGCAGUUGGUUUCCUCUCUUCUCACUUAUUCCUUUGUAAUUUCUAUUUUAUGUUAAGCUUGCCACCAACCUGAUUAAUAGGUGUAUUGCUACAAUAACAAGAGAACUAAUAAUUGCGCUUAAGAUGUCGACGAAAAAGAUUUAGAGUAAUAUGUAGUACAUAUUUUAAAGAUGCUGACUAAAGUUGAGUGUCCUACUUCUUAAUGUGUUGUUUAUGUGACUCUGUUUGAAUUUUCUUUCUCAAAUGACAAGACUAAUUUUCUUCUCCAUGUUCUCUAAUAUAUUUGUUUUAUUAGAAAAAGAACAGAGGCUGCAAGUAUAACACUACUAAUAUAAUGCACACAAUUCUGGUAAGUUUAUUAAUUUGUCAGCCUUGCUAAUCUCGUCUUGUGUCCAAGUGAUUUCAGCCCACCCAUAAAGUCUUCAAGUGAUUUUAGCAUGUGACAUGGAGGAUAUUCGGUGGCUCCAAAUUUACAAAUCGUGAGAUGACAAGAAGCUCCAAAAUUGGAUAUUUUAAUGUAAAUUAUGUAGCUUAUGAGCCUUUAUAAAUAAUUGUAUUAGUAUAUAGUACAUCCUACUAUCCUAGCUAUUUAGUUUUUCUAGGUUUCAGUUCUUAGGUUUGAUUUAUAAUAUUUUGUAAUAUUUGGUUAGGAUUUCGGUUAGUGAUAUAGAUGGGUGUAUUUUUGGAUUCUGGUUAGUACCAUACAUGUACGUACUAUGAAUUUUAACUACUUAAGUUUUUAUACGUUAAUUUUAUUGAUAA